GAGUAAAGGCAGUCCUUUACAAAAGGAGACAGAAACAGAGGAUGGUGUUGGGGAGCUUGUACUUGGAAAUGAAGUACAACAGGUUAUGGAUGACAACGGCAACAAUCCAGGCACCAGUCAAUGUGUCACUGUCCAGAGCUCCUGUUACAGGUGUGUAGGGG